UUCGAUUAUGGCUCACAGAUUGAACGCUGGCGGGAUGCUUUAUUAUUCGCCAUGCAGUCGAACGGCAGCACGGACUUCGGUCUGGUGGCGAGUGGCGAACGGGUGAGUAAUGUAUCGGAACUGUGUUUGGGGGGGAUAACUACGCGAAAGCGUAGCUAAUACUGCAUGACAUCUCCUUCGGGGGAAAGCGUAGACCUUCGGCCCCGCACCACAGAGCGGCCGAUAUCGGAUUAGCUAGUUGGUGGGGUAACGGCUCACCGUUAUGACGAUCCGUAGCUGGUUUCGGGAGAGGACGACCAGCCACACUGGGACUGAGAUGGCCCAGACUCACGGGAGGCAGCAGGGGGGAAUUUUGGACAAUGGGGAAACCCUGAUCCAGCCAUCCCGUGCGAUGGCGACUUCGGGUUAAAGCACUUUGGCAGGAAACGGCACGGGAUAAUACCCGUGCAACUGACGGUACCUGCAGAAUAAGCACCGGCUACGUGCCAGCAGCCGCGGUAAUGUAGGGUGCAAGCGUUAAUCGGAAUUACUGGGCGAAGUGCAGCAUGGUUCGGAAAGAAAGAUGUGAAUCCCAGAGCUUAACUUUGGAACUGCAUUUUUUUAACUGGCCGAGCUUGUAGAGGUCAGAGGGAGGUGGAAUUCCGGGCAAAGUAUGAAAUGCGUAGAUGCGAGGAACACCCGAUGGCGAAGGCAGCCUCCUGGGAUAACACUGACGCUUUCCAUGCACGAAAGCGGGAUGCAGGAUUAGAUACCCUGGUAGUCCACGCCCUAAACGAUGUCAACUAGCUGUUGGGGCCUUCGGGUCAUGGUAGCGCAGCCAACGCGGUUGACCGCCACGGUCGCAAGAUUAAAACCCAAAGGAAUUGGACGGGGACCCGCACAAGCGGAUGAUGUGGAUUAAUCGACAACGCAAAACUCACCUACCCUUGACAUGUCUGGAAUCCCGAAGAGAUUUGGGAGAAGCCUGCAAGAGAACCGGAACACAGGUGCGGCAUGGCGUCAGCUCGUGUCGUGAUAUGUUGGGUUAAGUCCUGCAACGAGCGCAACCUCGGUCACAGCUACGAAAGGGCACUCUAAUGAGACUGCCGGUGACAAACCGGAGGAAGGUGGGGAUGACGUCAAGUCCUCAUGGCCCUUGUUAUGGGUAGGGCUUCAUCGCCACAAUGGUCGGGAGAGGGUCGCCAACCCGCGAGGGGGAGCCAAUCCCAGAAACCCGAUCAGUCCGGAUCGCAGUCUGCAACUCGACUGCGUGAAUGGAAUCGCUAGUAAUCGCGGAUCAGCAUGUCGCGGUGAAUACGUUCCCGGGUCUUGUACACACCGCCCGCCAUACAUGGGAGUGGGUUUUACCAGAAGUAGUUGAGCCUAACCGCAGGAGGGCGAUUACCACGGUAGGAUUCAUGACUGGGUGAAGUCGUAACAAGGUAG
rnacentral:rRNA from 1 species